UCUUGAUCUGAUAAUGCCAACAUUCCUGCCAUACCUGACUCUGGUUCCGAUGCUUGUUCAGGUCUUCAAACUAUACUUUUUGACUUUCAA